CUGAGACAUAUUCGCUGAUUGAUCGUUUACUUCACCCAUGGAAAGCAGAGAAAAUCAAUCUCCUCAAGACGAAAGGGCUCGGGUAUUAGUGGAAUUCUUGGAGGUAGCAAUUACAUCGAUAAUUUUCCUCAAAGGAGUAUAUCCUGGCGGUGCAUUUGAGAGGAGGAGGUAUAUGAAUGUCGUGGUCCAGAGAGCUAGACACCCACAGCUCAGAGAUUACAUUCACUCUGCUGUUACUGGCCUCCUUCCUUUUAUCCAAAAGGGAUUGGUCAACAGAGUGGCAGUAAUUUUUUCUAGCACUGAUAAUAUCCCAGUCGAGAGAUUCAUUUUCAAGCUCACGGUGAAUCAGUCUUGUGACUUGAAGGUGGAAGAAGGUGACCUGGAAUUCUCUCUUAGGUCAUUCUUAAUGAAACUUUCUGUCUCAGGGCCUCUUACCAAGGUUCUCCCACGAGAUUGCAGGUGGGAGAUAACAGCCUACUUUAGUUCCAUUCCUCAGGUUGGUACAAGCAAGUAUGCAGAGUUAUGGAUCCCAACUGACACAAAGCAAUGGCAACAACCUCCACUGAUAACCCCAAUCAAGUCAAUGAGUAGCGAACCUUUGUUUAUGCAACUAUAUUUGGAACAUCCAAGUCUAUCUGAACCAAAGCCUGAAGCGAAGAAUUACUAGACUCCCAC
rnacentral:misc_RNA from 1 species